AUUGAACGCUGGCGGCAUGCUUUACACAUGCAAGUCGAACGGUAACAGGUUAAGCUGACGAGUGGCGAACGGGUGAGUAAUGCAUCGGAACGUGCCCGAUCGUGGGGGAUAACGCAGCGAAAGCAGCGCUAAUACCGCAUACGAUCUGAGGAUGAAAGCGGGGGACCGUAAGGCCUCGCGCGAUCGGAGCGGCCGAUGUCAGAUUAGGUAGUUGGUGGGGUAAAGGCCCACCAAGCCGACGAUCUGUAGCUGGUCUGAGAGGACGACCAGCCACACUGGGACUGAGACACGGCCCAGACUCCUACGGGAGGCAGCAGUGGGGAAUUUUGGACAAUGGGCGAAAGCCUGAUCCAGCAAUGCCGCGUGCAGGAAGAAGGCCUUCGGGUUGUAAACUGCUUUUGUACGGAGCGAAAAGGCCCUUUCUAAUACAAGGGGCUCAUGACGGUACCGUAAGAAUAAGCACCGGCUAACUACGUGCCAGCCGCCGCGGUAA
rnacentral:rRNA from 1 species